CGGGAGGCUGCAGUAGGGAAUCUUCCACAAUGGGCGAAAGCCUGAUGGAGCAACGCCGCGUGUGUGAUGAAGGCUUUCGGGUCGUAAAGCACUGUUGUAUGGGAAGAACAGCUAGAAUAGGAAAUGAUUUUAGUUUGACGGUACCAUACCAGAAAGGGACGGCUAAAUACGUGCCAGCAGCCGCGGUAAUACGUAUGUCCCGAGCGUUAUCCGGAUUUAUUGGGCGUAAAGCGAGCGCAGACGGUUUAUUAAGUCUGAUGUGAAAGCCCGGAGCUCAACUCCGGAAUGGCAUUGGAAACUGGUUAACUUGAGUGCAGUAGAGGUAAGUGGAACUCCAUGUGUAGCGGUGGAAUGCGUAGAUAUAUGGAAGAACACCAGUGGCGAAGGCGGCUUACUGGACUGCAACUGACGUUGAGGCUCGAAAGUGUGGGUAGCAAACAGGAUUAGAUACCCUGGUAGUCCACACCGUAAACGAUGAACACUAGGUGUUAGGAGGUUUCCGCCUCUUAGUGCCGAAGCUAACGCAUUAAGUGUUCCGCCUGGGGAGUACGACCGCAAGGUUGAAACUCAAAGGAAUUGACGGGGACCCGCACAAGCGGUGGAGCAUGUGGUUUAAUUCGAAGCAACGCGAAGAACCUUACCAGGUCUUGACAUCCUUUGAAGCUUUUAGAGAUAGAAGUGUUCUCUUCGGAGACAAAGUGACAGGUGGUGCAUGGUCGUCGUCAGCUCGUGUCGUGAGAUGUUGGGUUAAGUCCCGCAACGAGCGCAACCCUUAUUGUUAGUUGCCAGCAUUCAGAUGGGCACUCUAGCGAGACUGCCGGUGACAAACCGGAGGAAGGCGGGGACGACGUCAGAUCAUCAUGCCCCUUAUGACCUGGGCUACACACGUGCUACAAUGGCGUAUACAACGAGUUGCCAACCCGCGAGGGUGAGCUAAUCUCUUAAAGUACGUCUCAGUUCGGAUUGUAGUCUGCAACUCGACUACAUGAAGUCGGAAUCGCUAGUAAUCGCGGAUCAGCACGCCGCGGUGAAUACGUUCCCGGG
rnacentral:rRNA from 1 species